rnacentral:rRNA from 1 species
AGAGUUUGAUCAUGGCUCAGGAUGAACGCUAGCGGGAGGCUUAACACAUGCAAGUCGAGGGGCAGCACGAGGUAGCAAUACUUUGGUGGCGACCGGCGCACGGGUGAGUAACGCGUAUGCAACCUACCCUGUACUGGGGGAUAACCCGGAGAAAUUCGGACUAAUACCCCAUAAAGAUAUUGAGAGGCAUCUUUUAAUAUUUAAAGCUCAGGUGGUACGGGAUGGGCAUGCGUAACAUUAGCUAGUUGGCAGGGUAACGGCUUACCAAGGCAACGAUGUUUAGGGGUCCUGAGAGGGUGAUCCCCCACACUGGUACUGAGACACGGACCAGACUCCUACGGGAGGCAGCAGUGAGGAAUAUUGGUCAAUGGGCGCAAGCCUGAACCAGCCAUCCCGCGUGAAGGAAGAAGGCCCUAUGGGUUGUAAACUUCUUUUCCAGAGGAAGAAAAACUCCGACGUGUCGGGGCUUGCCAGUACUCUGGGAAUAAGCAUCGGCUAACUCCGUGCCAGCAGCCGCGGUAAUACGGAGGAUGCAAGCGUUAUCCGGAUUUAUUGGGUUUAAAGGGUGCGUAGGCGGGAUAAUAAGUCAGUGGUGAAACCCUGCAGCUUAACUGUAGACUUGCCAUUGAUACUGUUAUUCUUGAGUGUGGUCAAGGUAGGCGGAAUGUGUAAUGUAGCGGUGAAAUGCUUAGAUAUUACACAGAACACCGAUUGCGAAGGCAGCUUGCUGGACCAUUACUGACGCUGAUGCACGAAAGCGUGGGGAUCGAACAGGAUUAGAUACCCUGGUAGUCCACGCCGUAAACGAUGAUCACUCGCUGUUGGCGAUACACAGUCAGCGGCUAAGCAAAAGCAUUAAGUGAUCCACCUGGGGAGUACGGCCGCAAGGCUGAAACUCAAAGGAAUUGACGG